rnacentral:rRNA from 1 species
AAACGUCUCAGUUCGGACUGUGGUCUGNAACCCGACCACACGAAGCUGGAAUCGCUAGUAAUCGCGAAUCAGAAUGUCGCGGUGAAUACGUUCCCGGGUCUCGUACACACCGCCCGUCACACCAUGGGAGUUGGGAAUGCCCGAAGUCAGUGACCCAACCGCAAGGAGGGAGCUGCCGAAGGCAGGCUUGAUAACUGGGGUGAAGUCGUAACAAGGUAGC